CAGGAACAGCAAAGAUAGAUGUAAAUGUUGAUUUCACUCACAAACUAUGUGCUGCUUUGAUGCUUCAUCCCUUCAGGAAUUCUGGCAAUCCCCUUUCACAGAUUAUUGGGAGUCUUUGCAUUAAGCAUCCAAGUGUAUUUGGUGGGAGCGAAAAGCUCGAUGUAUCCUAGGC